GGUUGAUCGAUGGUAUUGAACGAGGUUUUGGUCUUAAAAUCGUUCAUUAUACUCUGUAACAACAUUUUGUACCAUGAAACCAGAUAGUUUCCGGAAAUUGUUUUUUUCGAUAUUCGCGGUUUGUUUUAUCAUGAAUUCGUUCCAACGGGACAGAUGGUCAAUAAAGAGUUUUAUUUGAACGUUUUUAAGCGUUUUCUCGAAAAUAUUCGUAGUAAACGGCCGGAAUUGUGGGCCAACAAACUUUCUGGUCAUAAUGUAUAUACAUAUGUACGGUCAAGAACUGUUAGCUCGGCAGUAUUCUAAAACACUAUCAGACGAAGAAUGCAAAAUUUAUUCGCUCAAUUCGAUAGAUAAUCAAAGGAUUUCUAAGUAUGGACACCCAAAGAUCAUAUUAGUUAUCCAAAAGUCGAUGCCUGUUUUCGACAAAAGUUAUUGUUCAACAAGAACCGUAAGAUAACCGACUUUCUAUCAUUGAUAUGGACCUACUUCUCCAGCAACAAUAGAAAGUUAUUUUGCACUUCAAACCAAACUGAUGAAGUGUUUUGAUUCCAAAUUAAGGGCCUCAUUUACUGCAUGUAUUAACGCUACUUUACUUACUGAAGUACCCUUUAUUUCAAUCAGUACAAUGAAUAUGUGUAGCGGAUCGUCUACCUUCCCAUGCAAAACUCAAACCAAACUAAUAACGAGUAUUUAAAUUUUUAUUUAGUUUGUUUUCGUCUAUCUAUUUACAAAUAUAAUAAAUGUUCAACGAAUAAUCAACUUGCUUGCCAUACUCAACUUUAAAGUUUAAAACACAACUUGUAAAUUACUGCUGCUGAGCUGUACCCUGUUGGCUCCGAUGUAGCUAACCCCUUUUUGUAUUUCCAAGUUUACCUGUAAUUGAGGAUACCUUUCAAAUAAAUACAAUCAGAAUCAUAAGCACGGGACCUUUGUGAGAUCGAGUUUACGAGUACUGUCAAAAUCAAAAUCGAACUCGUAGUUUUGUAUUAACAAUGUGAACCUGAGCGACUUCGGGGAUUUCAUCCAAUCGAUCCGUGAUAAAGUUCUUGUUUUUGGAAUGCAAAUCGUGCAGUGGAAUCAAAGGGGCCUUGGAUGCUUUAUAAGGGGACUCUUGUCCUUAGAUGGCGACCGUCAGAUAUAUGUAUUGGUUUAAUUAGUUGCACACAUCACUUCCACGCGCGUUUCCUUGGAAACGGCUACCACGGAGGACACGUGACAAAAAUUCAAAACCUCGAUUGAAAGACGGCCGAAUGAAGAUGUGCCAGAUAACUAACGCAUUGUGUGGGCAUCACAAAAGAUGGCUUGGGUUAUACCUGGCAUCAAAUAUUGGGUUUGAGAAAGAUGUCGGCACAACGGAUGUCGCUUUUGCUUAGUACGGAUAACAAACGCAAUCGUGGCACCCCUUUAUUGCAAUGUUUGACGCUAUUUAAGUGCAUUCCAAAAGAGUUUCUACGUCUUCUUCAUAACCAUCGCCGACAUGGAUUUUUUGGAAAACGUUUUUUUUUUAGAAGGGUUACACAAGUUGGAGUAUUGCUUGGUCAA